rnacentral:rRNA from 1 species
UACGGGGGGGGCAAGCGUUGUUCGGAAUUACUGGGCGUAAAGGGCUCGUAGGUGGCCAACUAAGUCAGACGUGAAAUCCCUCGGCUCAACCGGGGAACUGCGUCUGAUACUGGAUGGCUUGAAUCCGGGAGAGGGAUGCGGAAUUCCAGGUGUAGCGGUGAAAUGCGUAGAUAUCUGGAGGAACACCGGUGGCGAAGGCGGCAUCCUGGACCGGUAUUGACACUGAGGAGCGAAAGCCAGGGGAGCAAACGGGG